GUAGUUUUCACAGCAUUAUUACUGUAAAAUGAGCAAAUGCUUACUGUAGAACUUGUAUACAGCAUGUUGCUGUAGAUCUGCAAAGCAUCAUGGUCUUUUUUCAACGGCGGGUAAAUUCUACAGUAAAAAUAUUUUUCCUGUGAAUCACAAUACAGCAAUUUCUAAAGGAUUUUUUUUCUUCAGCCAAGGAAAGCUACGAGAUUCCACACUUUCAUCUGAAUUUUUACUUCAGAAAGGGCUGAUGACGUAUGCGAGUGCGACCUCCGCAGGCUGAAACCAGUCUCUCGAGCUGAAAGAAAACGGAGCUGAGCAGAUAUGAGGAAACUUCCACCUACAGUAAGCAGAUGCUGAGGCCCAGAUUUCCAUGCUAAGCACUCCAAGGCUCAUCAUGCUCGGAGAGUCCAAUCUGAGGGCAAAAAAUGGAUGCUUUCCAUCGAGUGCAGAGUUCUCCUCCAAUUGAGUGACCGUUGUGAUUUCACUUCUGCUCGAGCCUUUUUGUGUCAUACUAUGUAUGAGGCAGCCACUACAUUGGGAUUUAUCCAGAGGAUAGAGUCCAGCCCAGGAAGUCAACUAGUUCAUGUCCAGAUUUAAAAGAAUAAUAUUUCUGAACAAAAGGUCUUGGAGAAAAACAAUAUUCAGGUUUGAAAUCCUGCUGUAAAUGUAAAUAAUUUAACCUUUAUGCAUUUGUAAUUUACCAGAAACUUUUUAAUAAAUAUUGAUUGUUUUGUGUGUUCAGAAAAAAAGUGUUUUUGUAUGUUCAGAAAAGUGUUGAAAUUAAAUGAAACAUUCACAGAAAAAUGUUAACAUAUUUAAAAAAAUUUAUAUGUUCAGAAAAGUUUUGAGAUGUUCACAGAAAAAAUGUAACACAAAAAAAUGUAUGCUAUGCUAUUUUUAAUUUAUGAAUUUUUGUAAUUUAAAGUGAUAAAAUAAAUGGCAUUUUUGUGACAAACAGUGUCUUCAUUUUACAGUACACAAAAUAAAUGCAGUAAUCCCUAUUACAGUAGUAGUUAUGAAAUACAGUACUGUGAUUAUUACUUUAAAAGAGUUUACAGUAAUUUUAAUUUUACUGCAAUUACGUUUACAGUAAGAAUAC